rnacentral:rRNA from 1 species
AACGAACGCUGGCGGCAUGCCUUACACAUGCAAGUCGAACGGUAACAGGUUAAGCUGACGAGUGGCGAACGGGUGAGUAAUGUAUCGGAACGUGCCCAGUCGUGGGGGAUAACUACUCGAAAGAGUGGCUAAUACCGCAUACGACCUGAGGGUGAAAGCGGGGGACCGUAAGGCCUCGCGCGAUUGGAGCGGCCGAUAUCUGAUUAGCUAGUUGGUGGGGUAACAGCCCACCAAGGCGACGAUCUGUAGCUGGUCUGAGAGGACGACCAGCCACACUGGGACUGAGACACGGCCCAGACUCCUACGGGAGGCAGCAGUGGGGAAUUUUGGACAAUGGACGCAAGUCUGAUCCAGCCAUGCCGCGUGCGGGAAGAAGGCCUUCGGGUUGUAAACCGCUUUUGUCAGGGAAGAAACGAGUUUCUCUAAUACAGAGACUUAAUGACGGUACCUGAAGAAUAAGCACCGGCUAACUACGUGCCAGCAGCCGCCGUAAGAC